rnacentral:lncRNA from 1 species
CCUGUGUGACUGCAACUGCAUUGAUGUAGUGGUACAGAGGAGACCUUACAAUGCGGAUGGGGAGGCAAGAAGUGGCGGGCCAUAAGAAGCUAUGUGAAGAAACAUCAAAAGUAAAAUAUGACACAAAUGAUGAAAGAGCACAAACAUUUUAGUUAGUUUGGCUAGAAUAUCUAAUAAAUAUAUGUCAACAUAUCAUGAAAACAACAUAUUUGGAAUUAAUAAGAUGAAGGUGAAAAUUUACGAUUUCAAGAUAUUCUUAGAAGAUAUCUGGUCUACUUUUUUGAGGUAUAACAUUUUUCUGAGGUUUGUAAAAUACUGAUAAUUUAUAAAACUAUGUUAACUUGUUAAGUGAAAA